ACUUUUAUUGAUACAUUAAAAAAUUAUCACGCAUUCAUUCUCAAAAGAAUAAAUUUCAUUUCAAACCGUGUUAGACAACUUAUUAUUAGUACCAAUAACAUCUCAAUUUUCAAUUUAUAAUCCUUUUUUUUUUCCUUUCAUCUGGCUUGUUUCUUCUCCAUUGCUAUGUUUGCACAUAUCCAUUGUUUUGAAGCCUUUUGUUUCAUACUUACCUGUUAAGGGAACACUGCAGCUUUCUUCUUAAUAUCUUUUAGUUGAAUAGUUUGGCUGUGUACAUAGGAAAAUUUUAGUUGUGACGGAAACACGGAUGAUACAUCACAUGUUUUUAUGUAAGUGGUGAAAUUUUUUAAUUUUUAAGCUAUUAACCUUUUAACACACAUAUCCAACCAUUUACAUAGAGACACGUGAUGUACCGUCUUGUGUGACGGUCACAUUGAAAAAUCUCUCGUGUAUAUACAUAUGUUUUGGAUUUAUGUCUAUUAAGUAGAACCAUGCACUGAUAUUAGACAACUUAUUAUUAGUACCAAUAACAACCCACUUUUCAAUUUAUAAACCUUUUUUUUCCUUUCAUCUGGCUUGUUUCUUCUCCAUUUGCUAUGUUUGCACAUAUCCACUGUUUUGAAGCCUUUUGUUUCAUACUUACCGGUUUAGGGAACGCUGCAACUUUCUUCUUAAUAU
rnacentral:lncRNA from 1 species